CAGGUAGGGUAGAAUUAGCUUCAACUUGUGACCUCAGCUUAGGUGAGAACACCCACUGAGUUUCAACAUAUAAGUAAGCAGAGGAAAAGAAACUUACGAGGAUUCUCCUAGUAGUGGUGAGCGAACCGAGAAGAGACCAACAUGAAAAUCGGGUGGAAUCAUUGUCUAAAUUGUUGUCUAUAGAAGCAUCCUUAGCGGUGGACCUAGGCCAAGUCCCUUGGAAGGGGGUGCUUGAGAGGAAGAUAGUCUCGUCAGGCUGGGACCCUAUUGCAUCACGAGGCAUUGUCGGUGAGUUGGUUUGUUUGAGAAUGCAACCCUAAUUGGGUGGUGAAUUCUGUCCAAGGCUAAAUAUGGGUAAGAGACUGAUAGCAAAGAAGUACCACGAGGGAAAGAUGAAAAGGAAUUUGAAAAGAGAGUUCAAUAGUGUUUGAAAUUUCUGGGAGGGAAGCCGAUGGAGUUUGUUGAUGCGUCUUGGUCAGAUGUUGAAUGGUUCAAGCUGGUCUGCCGCUAAAAUUGAGGUGAAAGACAACAUGGGAUGCUACAUCAUCACAAGCACGGGUGGAUUACUACUUGUUAGUUUUCCAUUGCGGUGGUCGAAGAACGAAGCAUGCACCCUUGUGGUAGGCCGUGUGCACCUGCGCACUCGUGGUGUUGGUUGACAGUAUUUCCAUUCGAGUCAUCUUGAAACACGGGCCAAGGAGUCAAACAUGUGUUUGAGUAGGUAGGUUUGGAAACCUGUGAGGCACAAGGAAGCUAAUGGGUGAGAUACCCCUAUAGGGGGUGGAUUUUCGACUGACCUUGUGCUUAUGCAAAGGGCUUGAGUGCGAGCACACCUGUUGGGACGCGAAUGAUGGUGAACUAUUCCUGAGUAGGGUGAAGCUAGAGGAAAAUCUGGGGGAGGCUCAUAGCAAUACUAACAUGAAAAUAAUUUGUCUAACUUGGGUAUGGGGGCUAAAGACUAAUCAAACCUUCUAGUAGCUCGUUUCCUUUGAAGUUUCCCUCAGGAUAGUUGUAGCUCACAUGUGAGUUUUAUUAGUUAAAGAAAAUGAUUAGAGGCAUUGGGAGCAUAACAGCCUUGACCUAUUCUCAAAAUUUAAAUAGGUAAGAGGGUGCAACUGUUCCAUUGAGCCGUUCCAUGGGAUCGAGAGAUCCAAGUGGACCAUUUUUUGUAAGCAAAACUGGUGAUGCAGGAUGAACCAAAAGUCGAGUUAUGGUGUUGAAUUGCAUGCUAACCUAGAUCGUACAAGGACUGUUGGUUGAUUAAGAGAGUAGGACGGUGGUCAUGGAGAUCGAAAUCCUCUAAGGAGUGUGCAACAACUCACCUACCAAAUCAACUAGCCCUGAAAAUGGAUGGUAAUGAAGCACACAACCUAUACUCGAUCAUCGAAGCAAUUUCCUAACUUCGAUGAGUAGGGGGACAUGAGGGUUGUUGAGCAAUGUUGGCUAUCAGCCUGGGCGGAUCGUCCCUCGGUGCAGAUCUUGGUGGUAGUAGAAAAUAUUCAAAUGAGAACUUUGAAGACUGAAGUGGAGAAAGGUUCCAUGUGAACAGCACUUGGACACGGGUUAAUCGAUCCUCAGAGAUGGGAAAGCCUUGUAUCAAGGGUGCACUCUACAUGAGCAUUACAAGGGAAUCAGGUUAAUAUUCCUGAACCAGGACAUGGCAGUGGGUGGCAACGCUAAGAAAUCUGGAUACAUCGUUGGGGGCCCCGGGAAGAGUUAUCUUUUAUUUUUAACAGUUUUCCCACCUUGGAAUUAGUUCACCAAGUGAUAGUGUCCAACAGCUCGAAGAGCACUGCACAUCUUGUGGUGUUUGGUGUGCCCUCAGUGGCCCUUGAAAAUCUGAAGGACAGAGUACCAUUCAUGUCUGGUCGUACUCAUAACCGCAUCACGUCUCCAAGGUGAAAAACCUCUAGUCAAUAUAACAAUGUAGGUAAAGGAAGACAACAAAACGGAUCCGUAACUUUGAGAAAAGGAUUGACUCUAAGGGUUGGGCCUAGGGGUUUGCACCCUCAACUUCUGGGAUGUCGGCAGUCUACCCGAGCUGCUCCCGCGGCAAGGGUGAGCAGUCAUGUGUCAAUUAGGAUACGGGCAUAGAAUGCCCCCUACUGGGGACUUUUCCCUAUGUGAUGAACAAUCUACUCAGAAAUGGUAGGGACAAGGGGAAUUGUUUGGUCAAUUUAGUAUUCCUAAAUUGAUAUCAUUAAUUGUCAACCCGGGGCUCGUAAGCUGAUGAAGUGAAGGUGUACUAUAUGUACUUAAGCAACCUCUUAAAGCUUUUUGUCGUUUGGGGGUGUUGUUUGUGAUUAUUUUUAUCUUCCUAAGAUGAAAUGAUGUAUUUAUAAACAAAUGAGUGAUGGUGUGUGUGGAGUGAAUUCUAAAUAUGUGAGGGUGUGUGAUUAGUGAUUCCUAACUAAUUGCUGAGAAAGGAAUGCUUUGAAGGAAAUGAAUUAAAAUAACUGAAAGCAAAGAACCACUCUUCUAAUGGCAUUAGACACCAUUCAUGCUGCUGCAAAAAUAAGAAAAUCACUUAAAAGACCAAUGAUAAAGUUUAUCUCUUCUUAACUCUCUGCCUCUAACACAUAGUACUGUGUAAGACACGAUUAAGAAGUAGCUAAAAGUAAGUCUAAUAACUGAUAAAAAUGAGAAAAUCUACUUUAAAGACUAGUGAUAUUAUUUUGCUCUUUCUAACUCUCUGCCUAUAUGACAUAGUACUGUGUAAAGCACGAUUAGAGAGUAGCUAAGGAUUAGUCUAGAAAGCACUCAAAGCCAGCUGCAAGUAAUUAAUGUUCUGAUCUCUAAAACGAUAAACAAUUUAUAGUAAGAGACCAUACAUAUAUUAGCAGACAGUUUUGAAAAUUAAAGCUAAAAACUAAUUAUGGAAAUAGAAUAAGGACCAGCAGCUUUAAAUUUGUCAACUGAAACUACCACUAGAUGCAAAGAAAACACAUGAACACACAAAUAAUCCCGGGU
rnacentral:rRNA from 1 species